CGAGUUGGCCAGACAAUCGCUGCUGAUAUCUAUAUAUAGGUAUUGGGGGAGGAAAGUCCGGGCUCCACAGAGCAGGGUGCCAGAUAACGUCUGGGCGGCGCAAGCCGACGACAAGUGCAGCAGAGAGAAGACCGCCUAAGCAUUUUCUUGUUUCAAGUAAUGCCGGUAAGGGUGAAAGGGUGCGGUAAGAGCGCACCGGGCCACUGGUAACAGUUGGCAGCAGGGUAAACUCCACCCGGAGCAAGACCAAAUAGGGUUCCAGUUUGCGUUGAUUUAUCAAUGACAAUGAUGCGUGGCUCGCGUUGGAACCGGGUAGGUUGCUUGAGCCUUAGAGCGAUUUGAGGCCUAGACGAAUGAUUGUCGCUUUUCUAUUUUAGGAAAGAUACAGAACCCGGCUUAUCGGUUGACUCAAAAA
rnacentral:RNase_P_RNA from 1 species